ACGCGAAGAUCCUCAGCAUGACUCGACAUGUCGAGAAUCCUUCUGAAAGGAAUGAGUCCGUUCGGGAGCGUGAACACAAGUGGUGCAUGGCUGUUGUCAGCUUGUGUUGUGAGAAGUUGGGUUAAGUUCCGCAACGAGCGCAACCCUUGUUUUUAGUUGCCAGCAUUAAGUUGGGCCCUUUAGAGAGAACGCCGGUGACAAACCGGAGGAAGGGGGGGGAGACGUCAAGUCAGCAUGCCCCUUACGUCGUGGGGUACACCACUAGUACAAAGGUAGGGACAAAGGGCAGCUACACAGCGAUAGAUUGUAAUUUCAGAAACCGUAGCUCAGUUCAGAUUGAACUCUGCAACUGAGAUUCAUGAAGGAGGAAUCGUUAGUAUCGCAGGUCAGCAUAUUGCAGUGAAUUCGUUCCCAGGCCUUGUACACACCGCCCGUCACACCAUGGAAGUCGGGUCACGCCGGAAGUC
rnacentral:rRNA from 1 species